GGGGAUGACCGGUUUUGACAGCGUGUAGAGGUGGUGUGUAAGCAUGCAGAGCAAUGAUGGCUACGCUCUUUAAUCUGGGACAUCGCAAUUUUAAAUGGCGAGAAUAACUACGCUCUUGCUGCCUAAUCGAAGUACAGUAGAUUACGCUUAAUCCCCGCAACAGUUGCAGGGACAAGACAUCGCCCGAGAGUCCUUUUUCCGAGACUCCUCGAUCCGGCGGUGCAGUUAAAUCGGGAAUGGAAUGCCAAGAGCCUCGCGCGGCGUUCGAGAUCUUAGAGGCUAAGGCGACGGUUGGUGGUCCUGAUCCUGCCGGCGCACGAAAACCAAGUCGGGAAUAAGCAUGUAGAAAGCACAUUAGUUCCACGUUUGGACGAGGGUUCAAGUCCCUCCAUCUCCACUU
rnacentral:tmRNA from 1 species